CUUCGGAGCAUCAGAGACAGGUGGUGCAUGGUUGUCGUCAGCUCGUGUCGUGAGAUGUUGGGUUAAGUCCCGCAACGAGCGCAACCCCUGCCUGUAGUAGCCAGCAUGUAAUGGUGGGAACUCUACAGGGACUGCCGGGGUCAACCCGGAGGAAGGGGGGGAUGACGUCAAAUCAUCAUGCCCCUUACGGCCUGGGCGACACACGUGCUACAAUGGCACAACAAAGAGAAGCGAGCCCGCGAGGGGGAGCAAACCUCAAAAAUAGUGUCCCUUUUCGGACUGUAGUCUGCAACCCAUCUACACGAAACCGGACUCGCUAGUAAUCGCAAAUCAAAAUGCCGCGGUGAAUACCUUCUCGGGUCUUGUACACACCGUAAAAACCACC
rnacentral:rRNA from 1 species